rnacentral:rRNA from 1 species
GCGCUACGAGAGGGGCCCGCGGCCGAUUAGCUAGUUGGUGGGGUAAUGGCUCACCAAGGCGACGAUCGGUAGCUGGUCUGAGAGGAUGGUCAGCCACACGGGGACUGAGACACGGCCCCG